AUUGAACGCUGGCGGCAGGCCUAACACAUGCAAGUCGAGCGAGCGGCGGACGGGUGAGUAAUGUAUGGGCACCUGCCUGAUGGAGGGGGAUAACUACUGGAACCGGUAGCUAAUACCGCAUACCAUCAGAUGUACCCAUAUGGGAUUAGAUCGUAGGUGUGGUAACGGCGCACCAAGGCGACGAUCCCUAGCUGGUCUGAGAGGGUGAUCAGCCACACUGGGACGGAGACACGGCCCAGACUCCUACGGGAGGCAGCAGUGGGGAAUAUUGCACAAUGGGCGCAAGCCUGAUGCAGCCAUGCCGCGUGUGUGAAGAAGGCCUUCGGGUUGUAAAGUACUGUCAGUCGGGAGGCGUUACCGACAGAAGAAGCACCGGCUAACUCCGUGCCAGCAGCCGCGGUAAUAC
rnacentral:rRNA from 1 species